rnacentral:tRNA from 1 species
GGUGGCUCAGUGGUAGAGUGCUUGUCUUGAACACAUGAGGCCCUGGGUUCCAUUCCUCAGUACCA